rnacentral:rRNA from 1 species
UACGUAGGGGGCAAGCGUUGUCCGGAAUCAUUGGGCGUAAAGCGCGUGUAGGCGGUUCGGUAAGUCUGCUGUGAAAGUCCAGGGCUCAACCCUGGGAUGCCGGUGGAUACUGUCGGGCUAGAGUACGGAAGAGGCGAGUGGAAUUCCUGGUGUAGCGGUGGAAUGCGCAGAUAUCAGGAGGAACACCGAUGGCGAAGGCAGCUCGCUGGGACGGUACUGACGCUGAGGCGCGAAAGCGUGGGGAGCGAACAGG